UACGUAGGGGGGCAAGCGUUGUCCGGAUUUAUUGGGCGUAAAGAGCGUGUAGGCGGCCAUACAGGUCAGCUGUGAAAACUCGAGGCUCAACCUCGAGACGUCGGUUGAAACCGUUUGGCUAGAGUCCGGAAGAGGAGAGUCGGAAUUCCCGGUGUAGCGGUGAAAUGCGCCAGAUAUCGGGGAAGAACACCCGUGGCGAAGGCGGCUCUCUGGGACGGUACUGACCGCUGAGACGCGAAAGCGUGGGGAGCGAACAGGAU
rnacentral:rRNA from 1 species